rnacentral:rRNA from 1 species
AUUGAACGCUGGCGGCAUGCCUUACACAUGCAAGUCGAACGGCAGCACGGGAGCAAUCCUGGUGGCGAGUGGCGAACGGGUGAGUAAAGCAUCGGAACGUGCCCAGUCGUGGGGGAUAACGUAGCGAAAGCUACGCUAAUACCGCAUACGAUCUGUGGAUGAAAGCGGGGGACCGUAAGGCCUCGCGCGAUUGGAGCGGCCGAUGUCAGAUUAGGUAGUUGGUGAGGUAAGGGCUCACCAAGCCGACGAUCUGUAGCUGGUCUGAGAGGACGACCAGCCACACUGGGACUGAGACGCGGCCCAGACUCCUACGGGAGGCAGCAGUGGGGAAUUUUGGACAAUGGGCGCAAGCCUGAUCCAGCAAUGCCGCGUGCAGGAAGAAGGCCUUCGGGUUGUAAACUGCUUUUGUACGGAACGAAACGGUCCCGGUUAAUACCUGGGGCUAAUGACGGUACCGUAAGAAUAAGCACCGGCUAACUACGUGCCAGCCGCCGCCGUAAGAC